ACCCAGAUCAAUACUGCACUAAGUCAAAAAAUCCCCGAAUCGACUUAUUUAUAUAGUUAAAUAGGCAUUUUUUUCCCGCACAUACCACAAAGACAGCCAUAUCUUUAUUUGCUAAAACAGCCAACAGAUGUCGUGCUAAGUCUCUUUUGGUGAAUGAAUAACUGCCUAGUCGUACCACGAAUAAGAAUCUAAUUCGAGUUGCAACUUGUUCCUUUAUAGAAGCAGCAUAUAGUGACGUUACGUAACAGUGAAUUAUUUUGUAAUGGUUAAGUAUUGUUGAAUGAAGUAGAAAAUUACUCCGAAUUAUUUAGAUUUAAUGCAGUGUUGGUGAAUUUCCUGCUUCUGCUGUUUUGAUAGUAUUUCUAAAUAAUACUGUAUUGGUGACGAGGAUGAUGAAGGGUCGGGGUCUAUUGUUGCUUGAAAAGGCAUUGGAAGCAACGGCAAUCGAGGCUGCGUCAACCACUUCACAAAGAAAAAUAGAAAUUUGUGUUGAAAAUGAAGCAAAAAUUUAGAUGCAUCACCAUCAUCAAUCGUGGUAUCACCAGUUACAUGAUUAACUAUCACGGUAUCACCCGUUGCAGCAUCAGCUCUCGAGGUAUCAUCUAUUGUAGCUUCAAAUAAGUCUUUGACACCCGAAAAGAGUAAUGAAAGAGAUUUUAUAGAUGAUUCGGAUCGGAACGGAUCCUACUUUUUCUAUCCG